rnacentral:lncRNA from 1 species
GGGAUGAGGGCAUGGUGGGGUGGGAUGGGGUUGGGCUUGGUGCCUUGGCUAGCUUUUCCAGUCUGAAUGAUUCUAUGGUUCUUUGGCUUCAUAGGCCAACACAUGCAGGUGUCAGCAGGCAGCCCAGCUUUGCCUCAGUACCCAUCUCUGUGCUCACUUGAAAUGACUGGUUCCCUGCAGAGGAAUUACUGCCACUGCCCAUCUGCUGCAGGGGAAAAUCUUUAUGGCUUGCGUAGCUUAAACCAAAUCAGGGCUCGAGUGGUUUACUGAGUUAUUAACAACACUUAAUUAACUGGCAAUCGGUGAACUACACAUUCAAGAUCAAUAUCAGCAAUGCUACAGGUAAGCCAGCGUGCAAGAAGCUCACCAAAUGGUGGUGAUAAUACAAAUUUCUCAAUGCAUACAAUCUCAGCAAGUUUUAAUUGCACACACAAUGUGUGUGAGUGCACCCCAAGCAUGGCAUCCAAAGGCAAGGCUGCUCUGCCUGAGCUUGGAGAGUUUGUGGUUGUAUCAGAGCUGCCUCUGGUUCCAUCAAAGCAGCUAUUCACUAUUUCCACUGCCAGGUCUCUUCUCAAUGUUGUAAAUGUUCAGUCUUCUUUUUGAGCUUCUUGGAAAGUCUUUUUGUGAUCAUCCAUCCUUUUAAUCCAGGUGAUGGUUUCCCCCAUUGCCCAACUUUGAGACUGUUUGUCCCAUAGCCAUGCGAUUGAUACUCGCAUUCCUGUCUUACCUGUUGCUGUUAUCUCUACCAAUCUACUACUUGGUGUUUUAUAGCAGCUUCAGAUGAGAUGCACCUGGAGAAUGGAGCUCUGUGGAGUAUAGCCCAGGGUAACUUUUUGUCUUCAUGUUGCCAUGCUGUCUUCAAAGGGCACAUGGACAUCCAGCCAUCUUGAAACCUGCUCUGCAAGGCAUUCAUACCCACAAGGAAAGAUGAAGGUGAAGAGCUGUGUCCUGGUGGCUAUUGCUUCUGUAACAACCGCUCAGAUGAGGACUUCCCAUGAUUUCCUCAGUGCCCUCAUGCUGCAGCUCUUCUCCAGGCUGGGAUGGUCGGGGUUUCCUCUGCAUCCAUCUGACGUAGUGGCAUCUCAAAGGCUGUGGGCAGGUGAGAUGGGUACUGGGAGCAUGGGGGGCAUAGGGGAAGCUGGGACACAAUUCACAAUCUGUACCUACAUGCUGAAUAUGUACACGUGCACUGUAAUGCUGUAGUGCAAGAGCUCUGCUCUGAGCAUGGAUUGGAGCCCAGCAGCUCGGGUUAUCCCAAGAAGGAUGGCAAGGACCAGCUUUAAGGCAGGGAAAAAGAUACAAAUGGGGAUGCUCAGCUUGCCAGCUGGUGGAUUGGAAGGGGGAAGCUGUGGUCCCUCAUGCUGUCACCUGGCAGAUUUUAGAUUGGAUAUUAG